UCUUGUUCAUUCCGAUAAGAACCAGACAAAUCAGUCCACUAACUAAGAAUGGCCAUGCACCACCACCCAAAGAAUCGAGAAAGAGCUAUCAAUCUGUCAAUU